ACCUGCCCUAUGAUUAAAAAUUUAAUGGCUGCGGUAUUUUGACCGUGCAAAGGUAGCAUAAUAAUUAGUUUUUUAAUUGGGAACUGGUAUGAAAGGUCGAACGAGAGAGGGACUGUCUCAAUUUAAUUUAAAUUAGAAUUUUAUUUUUAAGUAAAAAAGCUUAAAUGUAUUUAAAAGACGAGAAGACCCUAUAGAGUUUUAUAUUAAGAUAAUUAUAUAGGAAAUUAAAGAAUUAUUUUUUUUAUAAUUAUUAAAAUAUUUGGUUGGGGCGAUUAAAAAAUUUAAUAAACUUUUUUUAAAUUAUAACAUUGAUUUAUGAAUAAGUGAUCCAUAUUUAAUGAUUAUAAGAUUA
rnacentral:rRNA from 1 species